UUUGUACUCCCUCCGUCCCAAAAUUCUUCUCUUAAAUUUGUCUAAAUACGGAUGUAUCUAGUUACAUUUUAGUGUUAGAUACAUCCGUAUCUAAACAAAUGUAAGACAAGAAUUUUGGGACGGAGGGAAUACUAC
rnacentral:pre_miRNA from 1 species